AAUUAAUUAUUUUGAGAGUUGAUUUAAUUUAAUUUUUAUUUAUUUUAUUUGAUCAUUUUAUCGCCGGGUGUUGAAAGAAGCUUCGUCAACCUCGUUCACGAUCGUGCUCGCAGGAGGAGGAAUUCCGAUCGUACCUUGGGGUGUUGUUCCCGGUUAAUCCCGCACGUAAGGACGGGAAUACGCCUUAGGGCAGUGCCUCGCACACUUCCGGAUCAAUUAAAUAUUUAUUUGGAUUUAGCGAUCAUCUGUAAGUUGAUUUAUUUAUUUUCAUAAUAAAAUUUAGUUAGAUUUAAAUCACAAUUAGAUUUCUAUGCGGCAUUUGUUCCAGCAAUCUAAGGCGUAUUCCAAUCUGAUUGUUGUUAAAUCUGACUGUGCUAAUCCAUUAAAAUCUAUACAUAUAUACAUUGUAGAUAAUUUGUUUGAUAGCUUGCUUGUAUAAUUGACAUAUAAUAUUAAUUUAAAUUGGGAUUAGCAUUUUCAAAUUUUAAUUGCAUAUAGUUUGCUUGUAAUUUUUUAUUUGUCUUCUACUGUUAUUUAGAAUUAAAAAAAAAAAUGUUACAGUAUUUUUUUUAUAUCUCUUGUGUACGGAGGUUGGUUUGAAUCUUGCUACAGUAAAUUAUUUUUAAGUGUAUAGCUUUUUAAAGGUUAAUUUAUGUACAUACUAUUUUCAAAUAUAUAUAUAUAUAUAUAUAUAUAUAUAUAUAUAUAUAUAUAUAUAUAUAUUACUGUUUUGAUAAUAAAAAAAAAAGGAAAGGAGGUUUUUGUUACAGUAAAACAAUUUUAGCGUGUACGGAUUUUCUUAAAGCUUAAUUUUAUAUACAUAUUAUUUUUCAAGAAAAAAAAAAGGAAAAAAUUCUGCUGCAAAAUUAAUUUUAAACAAUUUUGCUCUAAGUGGGAUUUCAACCCAUAGUUUCUAAAAGCACGGUUUUUGAGCGAGAUCACCUAACAAGCAGCACUAAUACUAUUGUAUUGUUUUAUUGUUGCUGUCAUUGUAAACUCUGUUUGUUGGAUUUAAUAUCACAACUAUCUAACUUCUCAGCACGACUGAAUAUACAACAUCUAGCACAUAUUUAUUGUGAUAAUUUUGCUGAUUGUAUUUAAUAUUUUUAUACAUUGCUUGCAAUAUAUUGUUUGCAAACAAAUUACCUAAUUAAAAUCAAUAUUUUAAAAUUGUUUCUGCAAUCUAUUUGUUGUUGAACCGAAUUUUGUUAAAUAUGAUUAAAUUUUAUAAUUUUUUAAUUUUUAGUAUAUCUCUGUAAUUGUGGGGGAAGUUCUUUUAUCAGUUUGAUAAAUUUUGAUAUUAUACUUACCCUCGUGAUUUUAUUUUGUUUAUCUUAAUGUUUAGCUUGUAAAUGAUAUUAGUAAAUUCUAAAGUUAACUGACAUAUUAAAUUGAAAUAGAAGCAUGUUAGAUGACUAACCUCUCAUGACAUUAUAAUUUCAGUUUUGUCAGAUUUGAUCAGAAAUUUUGUAGAUUACUUAAUGAAAGGCCUGAACAGGACUAAGCUCUAGAAUCAUCGAGGGGGAUGGGACUUGCCCAUAAUGGGCCUUCCUGCAGUGGGAACCCAACCUUUGUGAUAGGAGAUCCCUUGAAGAAGGUUCAAUGUGGUAAAAACAAGCUGUCAGGUUGGCCAAAGAGCACUUUCUACAAAUUUUAUAUAGGAGCUUUAGCUCCAAUCCCAUCCCUAUGGUGAGUAGUGCUCUGUGUAGUGGAUUAGGUUGAGCUGAUAGCUCUUAAUGGGAUCCAAGACGGUAAUUUUCGCGAGAUGUGACUCUACACACAUCUCUGGAGGAAACCACCUAUAUAAGAGUAUCCGUAUGUGGCCGCGGCUAUAUGAAUGGGCUAUACAUAGAAACUCUUAUGAAAAAUCAAGGUACUGUGCAUGGCCAUUAACGCACAGACCCGCGACGGAGAAUUCUGUACUGUGUGUGUGAUAGUUGAAGUCAGGGACAAAGGAACGUAGUUCAAGACCUGGUUCACUCUAAUUCUUUCUGAUGGAAACUAUUUACACUAAGUAAGGUUAAGUUUCUUAAAGACAUCUUACCUAUUGCAUAGUAUAAACACCCGGUGAUCUAUUCUUUAAUUUGUUUUCGAGUAUAAUUCUUAUUUUGAAAAUUUUAAAUUUUGUGGGGGAUUAUUGAAAAAACUCAAAAUUUUCUAAUAUAUAUUUUUAUUUAUUUAUAUUUAUAUAUUUAUUAUUUAGAGCCGUUUGGAAUCCGAGAGUGGCGCGGACGUUACGCACCAUAGUGCGCGUCGUCAAGCAUGAAAGCGCUCGAAGGCGUACUUUCCGGAGCCGAAUGUUGGAGUCCAUCUCGUACUCACCUUAUACAUAUAGAUGUUGUCCUUCACCUUUACACAAGGGAAUUAAAAAGGACAAAAGAGCUCACAGAGAGAGCUACUAAUUAAUUAUUUUGAGAGUUGAUUUAAUUUAAUUUUUAUUCAUUUUAUUUGAUCAUUUUAUCGCCGGGUGUUGAAAGAAGCUUCGUCAACCUCGUUCACGAUCGUGCUCGCAGGAGGAGGAAUUCCGGUCGUACCAUGGGGUGUUGUUCCCGGUUAAUCCCGCACGUAAGGACGGGAAUACACCUUAGGGCAGUGUCUCGCACGCUUCCGGAUCAAUUAAGUAUUUAUUUGGAUUUAGCGAUAAUCUGUAAGUUGAUUUAUUUAUUUUCAUAAUAAAAUUUAGUUAGAUUUAAAUCACAAUUAGAUUUCUG
rnacentral:lncRNA from 1 species